AUAUUGUUUUGACUAGUGUAUGUUACACCUCUUUGUUAUGGGUUGUUGUUUUGUGCGGUUCUAAUAAAUAAAAUGUGGAAACCAUAUCGCGCUGCAGCUUGGUCCGAUCAUUAUUCCAGGGAACGUGACAGCAACCAGAAAAUGGUGGAGUGAUUUCUGCACAGUGCACCCGUUGACCCUCCGGCUGGACAGUGACCCCUGACACAAUCCUCGAUAGGAAGACACAUGUCUGAAGCACUGUGGCCAAGAUGCUUGCUGGAUUCAUCAUGCUGGCAUCUUCCUGGUGGCCUGUUGGCUCCACGGCUGAACUCUGAUUAACUAAAGUGCAAAAGUCUCUGUUUCUCUCAUCAUUGGCUUCAUAUCUGUUGAGCGAAGUGCCAGACACAUCAAGCAUUCUGCUACAGGGGUUGGAUCGACGUUGGCUACCAGAGGAUUCAGUAUGCAUGCAAAGCGCUCACGCUGUGAUUUCAGGAGGACCUGUGCCAACUGUCUUGCAACAGUAGUUGACUGCAAGUUCUAGCUUGACCCAGUCACGCUCUGUGCUUGACCUUAGAUUUCUUGGCUGUUAGCUAGUGAUAGAUAGUGAUAGUGAUGCACCAGUUAGGCCAAUUUGAUACAUCGACAUCUACUUGCAGCAUUUACCCUUCUAGAUUCAGAAGCUUAAACACCAUUAGAAAAGUUUAGAAUAAAAAAAAUCUAAACAUAAUUUAUGAUGGUUUAUUUUAUUUUGUUUUUCAGUCAAAGAUAAUAGUUUCAGUGUAGUUUUAGUUUUUCAAAAAAAGGAACUGUGUCGUACUUAUCCAGCAACACUUCGU